GCUCUUCUUAGUGUUACAGCUCUCUUGAACAGGGACCCCGACCAGCAAAAUCGCUCGGCUUAUAUAGACAACAGUAUGCUAAUUAUCUCUCAGGGAUUGGUGGGGCUUGGAUCACCCCACUACUUGUCCUCCAGGGAUUGGCGGAGAAUGAAUCACCUCAUUAGCAUAUUAACGGUCAACUAACACCUGGUGCAUAAACCGCACAUGUGCAGUACCGCUGUUCACCACUAGAGGGAGCCCUAACAAGGGGACAAGCCUGCACAUGCGCAAUAAGUCGUUUAUAUCCAGACAAGGCUAGAUGUCGGCGCCAUCUUUGUUUCGCCACGCCGCUCUCUACAGCCACGCCCAGGGCACCACAGCCAAUGAGUGGCUGAGCAGCCUCAAUUCUACAUGGCCAACCCGACCCUUGUAAAGCCUGUCUUGAGGAAGAGCAAGAAGUCCAGGGAGAAGAAAGCAAGUAGACACCCAAAGACACCAGUGUGGGGGGUGUGAGCACUGUGGGGAUGGGAUGGAGUCUUGGACCAGUGAGAACGCCAGAGACAAACUGCUGGAGGAUGUGACCGUGUGACUAUAGAGUCCUCUGGGAGCCUGAACCGCUCAGAAGCCAGGAAGUCUACAUUGCUCAACUAUUGAUGUCGGCUGCUCCCCCGCUGCUCAGCAGGUGCUUUCUGCAGCACCCUCUCCUGCCACCCCCCACCCCACCCCACACUCGCUCUGACAAGCAGUCUCUGACCAGUGUGUUUGGAAGUCACUGGGCAAUUCCGGCAUCAUCCUCAUGAGCUUAAGGUUUCAGUGGUAUCUGCAGGCAGGUGACAGCCACAUUCUGUAAGUGGCACCUCAUCCACUCAGCUGUCCAGCCUAAUGCCCACCUGUCCCUUAGCCCCUGCUCUGCUCAUGACCUCCCAAUGCCGAUCGAUCCCCACCCCAUCUUGCUACAUAGCUGAGGGUGGUCUCCAACUCCCAUCCUCCUGCCUUUGUCCCCCGAGUACUGGAUUAGAUGUGCAUGUUACCAUUCCCGGCUUUCUCCAUCUAAUCUCUCCACCACCCCUCGCUCUAUCCCGGUCCAAGCAUUAGUACCAUCAAGCCAAGACUGUUCUCAGUCUCUAAGGAGCUGCUGGCCGCCAUCGAGCCUGCAAUGUUCUUGUUGAUUAGUGCUGGUUGUCAACUUGACAGACUCAAGCAUCCCUUGGGAAGUGGGUCUGUGUGUUUAGGAGUAUCUUGAGCACGUGAGUUAGAAGAGCUGCCCCAUACAUAGUAGAUAGUUCCUAACUGGGCUCCUGGGCUGUAUUAAUGAGGAAAGCAAGCUGAACAGCCGCAGGCAUCAUGGCUUCCUGUUUCCUGGCUGCAGAUUCAAGGAGCCAGCUUUAAGCUCUAGCUGCCUCGAUGUCCCCACCGUGGUGGCCUGUACUCUUGAACUAUGAGCCAGAGUAAGCCUGUUCUCCCUCAAGUGCUUCUGUCUGAGCAGCAGGAGAAGGAAGUCAGGUGAUACCCCACUGUGAGCGCUUGCCUGAUGAUGGCUGUGCUGAGCAAGAUGUGGGAGCCUUCACAUGAACGCGCGCAUUUACUCCGUCAGCAGAUCUUUAUGGAGUUUCCCACACACCACGGCCCAUUUAUUUAUUUAAACAGAAAACUUUCUAUUGCAUAAGAAAAAUGUGAUACACUCUUAAAUAGAAAUGCCCCCGUUAAAAUAUGUAUGAAAGUAUUUAAGUGAUUCUUAACAAAAUAUUAAGUAUUUCCAUAUAAAAUAGUUCUCCUUGAAACUAUAUAAGUAGUAAAAAAAUUAAAACUCUUACCGAUCAUA